CACUAUGCCUAGCCCUAAACAUUGACAGUUAUUUACACCCACUGUCCGCCUGGGAACUACGAGCGCCAGCUUAAAACCCAAAGGACUUGGCGGUGCUUUAGACCCACCUAGAGGAGCCUGUUCUAGAACCGAUAAUCCCCGUUAAACCUCACCCUUCCUUGCCAUUUCCGCCUAUAUACCGCCGUCGUCAGCUUACCCUAUGAAGGUCCUAUAGUAAGCACAAUCGGCAAUGCCCAAAACGUCAGGUCGAGGUGUAGCGAAUGGAGGGGGAAGAAAUGGGCUACAUUUACUAGUACAGUAAAUACGGAUGAUCACCCUGCAACGAGUAUCUGAAGGAGGAUUUAGCAGUAAGUAAAAAAUAGAGUGUUUUGCUGAAAUUGGCCCUGAAGCGUGCACACACCGCCCGUCACUCUCUCCGAACUAAGACCUUAAACAUAACUAAUAUGCUAUAACUGUAAAGGAGAGGCAAGUCGUAA
rnacentral:rRNA from 1 species